rnacentral:rRNA from 1 species
AUGAUGUAUGGUUCCUUGACUAUUGUAGCAGUUUCAUAUGGAUUUUUGGUCCAUCUGGCUCUGAUCAUAUGGCUUGUUUUAAAUCCACACGCUGUACUUUUUGGUGGCUUGGCUGACAUCCCGUAUAUCCUGUUAUCCUAUCUUUGUAGGCAUAUAAAAGUAGGGAAUUAUUUUGGUUCAAAUCUAGGCUCUGUUUGUUCCUGUUUAGAUGUUUUUCAUUAUUUGAUUGCAUCCUUUGCUAUGUUACUUGCUUGCCAUCAGUAUUGGCUAGAGUUCAUCAUCAUGCACCUUUGUAAUCAUAUAUAG